rnacentral:rRNA from 1 species
UACGGAGGGUGCAAGCGUUAUCCGGAUUUAUUGGGGUUAAAGGGUCCGUAGGCGGAUCUGUAAGUCAGUGGUGAAAUCUCACAGCUUAACUGUGAAACUGCCAUUGAUACUGCAGGUCUUGAGUGUUAUUGAAGUAGCUGGAAUAAGUAGUGUAGCGGUGAAAUGCAUAGAUAUUACUUAGAACACCAAUUGCGAAGGCAGGUUACUAAGCAACAACUGACGCUGAUGGACGAAAGCGUGGGGAGCGAACAGG